AAUCAACGCUGGCGGCGUGCCUAACACAUGCAAGUCGAACGCGAGAGGGGCUUCGGCCCCGAUUGAGUGGCGAACGGGUGAGUAACGCGUGGGUGACCUACCUUCGAGUGGGGGAUAACGUCCCGAAAGGGACGCUAAUACCGCAUAACAUCCUGCUUUUGAAUGGGUGGAGAUCAAAGCCGGGGAUCGCAAGACCUGGCGCUUGAUGAGGGGCCCGCGUCUGAUUAGCUAGNGGUGAGGUAACGGCCCACCAAGGCAACGAUCAGUAUCCGGCCUGAGAGGGCGGACGGACACACUGGGACUGAGACACGGCCCAGACUCCUACGGGAGGCAGCAGUGGGGAAUUGUUCGCAAUGGGCGCAAGCCUGACGACGCAACGCCGCGUGGAGGAUGAAGGUCUUCGGAUUGUAAACUCCUGUUGCCCGGGACGAAUGGCUCCGACCUAACACGUCGGAGUGUGACGGUACCGGGUGAGGAAGCCCCGGCUAACUCUGUGCCAGCCGCCGCGGU
rnacentral:rRNA from 1 species